AUGCGAUGGUUGGACUCUGUAGCUGUGCGGUCGACGAAGGUUGCAGAUCCACUGCAGUCGGAUCUACGGUGGCAAGCGGAAGGAGUGCGAGCCGGUGGUCCGUGUGCGGAAGAUUUUUGGGGGUGUGCGCGCGAGGAGGAGAUUGGAGUUGGCAAGAUUGGAGCAGCGCGGUCGCCUUACUAUGGAUGUGCGUGGGUUUGGAAGCUGAAGGCGUUAUCGAUCUCGGUUCUGGGCGUUGGAUUGUUGUUGUCAGAGGUCGAAGGUGUGAAGAACUGA
rnacentral:lncRNA from 1 species